GACGAACGCUGGCGGCGUGCUUAACACAUGCAAGUCGAACGGUGAAGCGCCUUCCUUUUUGGUGGGUGAGGAUGAGUGGCGAACGGGUGAGUAACACGUGAGUAACCUGCCCCCUUCUUCUGGCUAACCGCAUGAAAGUGUGGCUAAUACGGGAUAUUCUGGGUCUGUCGCAUGAUGGGUCUGGGAAAGAUAUUGUUUCGGUGGGGGAUGUGCUCGCGGCCUAGCAGCUUGGUGGUGGGGUGAUGGCCUACCAAGGCGGUGACGGGUAGCCGGCAUGAGAGGGUGGGCGGUAACGCGGGGACGGAGAGACGGAGAAGACUCCGGCGGGAGGCAGCAGUGGGGAAUAUGGCACAGUGGGAGGAAGGAUGAAGCAGCGACGCCGCGUGAGAGAUGGAGGCCGGCUGGUUGUGAACCUCUGUCGGGAGAGAAGGAGGCCUGCGUAGUUUGUGGGUGGGUUGACGGUAGCUGGAUAAGAAGCGCCGGCUAACUACGUG
rnacentral:rRNA from 1 species